rnacentral:rRNA from 1 species
UGUGCAAGUGCAUACCGCUUGACGGUAAAACCGCGAACGGCUCAUUAGAACAGUUAUUGUUCGCAAGAAGUGAUAUCCACUUGGAUAACUGUGGAAAUGCUAGAGCUAAUACACGGUACGAUGCUUUGGACCUUGUUGGUACCAAAGCGCGUUUAUUGGUACAAUCUGUCGGUGUAUGGCCGGCUACGUUGCGUGGUCGGUUCGCUGUUCAGUUGUUGAAACGGAGUAACUUUGCUGAUCGCACGGUCCUAGUACUGGCGACGAAUCUUUGAAAUGACUUGCUCAUCAACUGUCGAUGGUAGGUUACGUGCCUACCAUGGUGACAACGGUUAACGGAGAAUCAGGGUUCGAUUCCGGAGAAGGAGCCUGAGAGACGGCUACUACAUCCAAGGAAGGCAGCAGGCGCGCAAAUUACCCACUCCCAGAACGGGGAGGUAGUGACGAUAAAUAACGGAACGUAUCUCGAUGAGACGCGUUACCGGAACGAUUGAGCCGUAUACGAGCUCGACUAAAGCUAUUGGAGGGCAAGUCUGGUGCCAGCAGCCGCGGUAAUUCCAGCUCCAAUAGCGUAUAUUAAAGCUGCUGCGGUUGAACCGCUCGUAGUUGGAUUGCGAUUUUCGGCCACGGUCCUCUAAGUCAAGAGGAUUGGCUCUGCCGCCGUUGGUCAUGAUCGGUAUUGUCAUGCUUGUCCUUGAUGCUCUUUGCCGAGUGUCAUGGGUGAGAUGGACGUUUACUUUGAGAAAAUAAGAGCGCUCAAAGCAGGCUGCUCAUAGCUUGAACGGAAUUUCAUGGGAUAGUGAAAGAUGAUCUCGCUGGUAGUGAAAAUACCACGAGGUAAUGAUUAAAAGAGACAGACGGUGGCAUUCGUACUGCUGCGCUAGAGGUGAAAUUCUUGGAUCGUAGCAAGACGAACAAUUGCGAAAGCAUUUGCCAAGAAUGUUUUCAUUAAUCAAGAACGAAAGUUGGAGGAUCGAAGGCGAUCAGAUACCGCCCUAGUUGCGACUUUAAACGAUGCCAACUAGCGAUUCGGCGAUGUCUUUCUAAUGACUCGCUGAGCAGCUCCCGGGAAACCAAAGUCUUUCGGUUCCGGGGGAAGUAUGGUUGCAAAGCUGAAACUUAAAGGAAUUGACGGAAGGGCACCACCAGGAGUGGAGCAUGCGGCUUAAUUUGACUCAACACGGGAAAGCUCACCCGUCCCGAACACUGUCAGGAUUGACAGAUUGAGAGCUCUUUCUUGAUUCAGUGGGUAGUGGUGCAUGGCCGUUCUUAGUUGGUGGAGCGAUUUGUCUGGCCAAUCCCGAUAACGAACGAGACUCUGGCCUACUAAAUAGUGACGGCUCAAUUUGCUUUGCCGAGCACUUCUUAGAGGGACAAGCGGCGGUACAAAGCCGCACGAGAAAGAGCAAUAACAGGUCUGUGAUGCCCUUAGAUGGACGGGGCUGCACGCGUGCUACACUGAUGGCACCAACGUGCGUUCAAGCCUGGCUUGAAGAGGUCAGGUAAUCGAAUGAAAUGUCCGUCGUGACUGGGACAGGGAAUUGCAAUUAUUUCCCUCGAACGAGGAAUUCCCAGUAAGCGCGAGUCAUCAGCUUGCGUUGACUACGUCCCUGCCCUUUGUACACACCGCCCGUCGCUACUACCGAUUGGAUGGUUUAGUGAGGCUUCUGGACUGAUGCUGCUUGUUUGGCCUGUUUUCUGGCCGGGCUGUAGCGUUGGAAAAUUGGCCAAACCAAUUCAUCUAGA